UCGGGUGCAUGUGUGUUCUCCGUGACAUUCUUGAAGUUGUGAGUAAUUAGAUUGUUUUUUGCUGCGUUUAGGUUGUACCACCUCGUUGUUCUCGCGUACUUUUGUGCUCAUCAACGCGAAGUGAGCGUCCGGAGUGAAGACGACGCGAUUGUGCGUGAGAAAGAAGGGCAGCAGCGGCCUACGACAUCGGUGUUUCUUUGUGACAGUGUGUUUACUACGCCUACGACGGCCGUCAUUCGUGGCGACGGAGAAAAACAUCUUCCAUUCGGCCUGAACAGUGAUGAAGUGGACGUUUUGUUUUUCGGCGGAAUCCAUCGUCAACAUCGUCCAUCCACUAUGUAAUCGAAAUGGUGUGCCCACAGUACACAUCGUGGCAGCGCUCCGCCUUCAAACCGAGGGCCUUUUGCAAGACGCAUGAACUGCUCAUAUAAAAGUUACAGUCAGCAUGAAGCAAUUGCAUGGGAACCGACUGGCUGUCUUGGGCCUACACAUUGCUGAAAAGGCAGUGAAGACGUCUGAGCCGACAGGCAGAAAAGAAGCAGAUGGCUACAGCGAUCAGUGAAGAAAUGGCUUCAUCUAUGAUGGCUCGCCUUAGGACAUUGGAAUGCAGCUACACAAAGGCAUCAUCCUUGCCUCUGCCCUGGAACUUUGGUUUGAAUGAGACUGUUCUUCAACGUAGAACGGCCACAAGACUUGUCACCACAUACAAGGCAUAGUGCAAGCUCUAAAUAUUGUACAGGAGGCUAGAAUAAAUGACCCUCCAUGCAGUCACUCUGUGUCUGUGGUAAAUGGGACCAUCACACAUGAUUAUGUGUUUUCUCUCAAAGUUGCUAUGCCGUGCGUUUGGAAACACAUUACCUAUUGUAUGCACACCAUACUUAACAUUUCUGUGUGCUAGCCUGACUGUGGACUUACGAAACAAACAAUGAAGUGCAUAUGAACCCGCAUCCACAUGCCAUACUUCAAGGGUUAUUAUAUUGCUCAUUACACCCGAUAGGUGAAGGGGUAAUAUAUUCCUGAUCACACCCUUACACCCCGUGGGUCGAAGGGUAAUAUGUUGUUCAAAACACCCUCAAGGGAUAGGGUGUUAUUGGAAUAUAGAAUAACCAUCAUAAGGGUGUAAUUCCCUAUAGAACCCACCUUUUUCAAGGGUGCUAGGGGGUUAGUUAUAGACACCGAAAAAAACCCUUAGGGGUGUAAAUUA